AUAAGACAUGGGAUAAAAAAAUCAGCCAAUCAAAAGACAUGUGAGCAAGGCUCUGGUAAUGUUGGGCUUGCGUUUUCUUUAGCCAAAAUGUUGAAUCUAAGAUCAAACGAAAGGGCAUGUGUUAUCACUUCCAGAUAUGCUCUCAUGAUCCUCUUCACGGCUUCUUUUGUUCGUCGCUUCCCUUCGAAAUUGUUAUCGUUAUUGUUGUUCCUCAAGCUGAUUUUCUUUUCCUAAUUUUUCUAUCUUCUUUGGCUCUUCGUUCUCAGUCUCUCUUCCAUUUCCGUUUGUUUCCGAUAUGAGUUAUUCAAUGACCUCAACUGAGUUUUCCUUUUCUGUGUCCUAGACGACCACCGUCUCUUGAAAGUCCAGCCGGUAACACCUCUGAGCGACUUCAAUUGAUACAGUUACCGCUGUAAAUCAGUCGGAGCUCUCGCUACUUAGUCUUCAAAACGGCUGAAGCUUUGGAAGCGAGCACAGAUCUGGUUUCUUCCUCUUCACGAUUUUGCUAGAGGACGAAGUGGUGGUUUUUAGAUCUGUUUCGAGCGGAAGCGGUGGAGGUCGUGAUGAGCAGCUUCGGGUAUAGAUCGGCAUGGAGGGAAACACGGCGAGUCAAGAUUGGCCCGGCGAGAUCCACAGAGAAAUCAGAAACAGAACUAAAGCUGAUACAAAAAAACAUUCGUUAUAACAACAAUGAUGAUAAUGAAGUUAUGGGAUCCACAUUCGUCUUUUACUCGAGCAUCCUCUUUGAGAAACGCCAAAUGAAAGACUGUGAAAGGUAUGUCUAGGCAUUUAGUGUUAGUUUAUUUUGUGAUAACGAGAUUUUUUUGUUAGGAUCAUCUAUACAAUGUACACACAUGUUGGUGACUAAGUUUGCAACAUCUUAGAAACAAUGAAAUAGCCGGUGAGGAGAUUCGUUUAUGAAAAUUUGAUUCUCACUUGAUGUAUGUUCCCUAUGAUUAUAGAUAAAUAAGCGACAUUAAUGAGCUCUGAUUUCCAGUGGAAAAAGGUUGAAGAACCAAAAGAGUUCACCGGCUUGAGCUGUUCUUUGAGGCUUAAAUUAAGAACAAUGGGAUUGCCGGUUUGGAGAACCCUUACUACCAUAACACUGUCUUCACCAAGACAUCUCACAUGAUUGAUAAAGAUAAGCUUAUCCUCGAGAUGGCCAUUGGGUCCAGGAGUAACAAGAGAAGCUGGAGUAUGAUGAAAGGAAGCCAAAAGUGAGAAGAAAAGGAGAGGAGAGAUUCAUCACGAGUGUGUUGUAUAUAUACCCUAUGUGUCUCAGUUUUUCCACCAGACCAAUAGUGUAAGAAUUUAUUGUCACUCGUGAUGAUGGCCAAUAGAUAAAAGAAAAUAAUGACCUCUCCAACAAGAGGUCGUAUUUUUUUUUUUUUCACUCGUGAUAUAAAUAUAAUGUUUUGGCCUUUUGGUGUGGUAGUUUGCUUAAGAGUAGUUUGGUUUUCGUCUAAUUUUUCAUUUAUAACAGGUUCUCAUAAAUCUGUUUGGAGGACAAUAGCAUUUCGUUGGU